rnacentral:siRNA from 1 species
AGUAUCAGCAUUCUGGAAAACCCA